rfam:Myotis lucifugus cont2.12192, whole genome shotgun sequence.
GGUGGUUCUCAGGUGAUGCACCCUGGAAUUGGGCUCUCUUCUCUCUGGUUCCGGGUGUGUCACCCGAAAACCGCA